rnacentral:rRNA from 1 species
UACGGAGGGUGCAAGCGUUGUCCGGAAUCACUGGGCGUAAAGGGCGCGUAGGCGGCUCAUGAAGGCUGUGGUGAAAGUCCGGGGCUCAACCUCGGAUCGGCCGUGGCGACUCGUGGGCUGGAGCACUGUAGAGGCGGGUGGAAUUCCGGGUGUAGCGGUGGAAUGCGUAGAGAUCCGGAAGAACACCAGUGGCGAAGGCGGCCCGCUGGGCAGUGGCUGACGCUGAGGCGCGACAGCGUGGGAGCAAACAGG